GUCAUUAGUUGCCAUCAUUCAGUUGGGCACUCUAAUGAGACUGCCGGUGACAAGCCGGAGGAAGGUGGGGAUGACGUCAAGUCCUCAUGGCCCUUAUGACCAGGGCUUCACACGUCAUACAAUGGUCGGUACAGAGGGUAGCCAAGCCGCGAGGCGGAGCCAAUCUCACAAAACCGAUCGUAGUCCGGAUUGCACUCUGCAACUCGAGUGCAUGAAGUCGGAAUCGCUAGUAAUCGCAGGUCAGCAUACUGCGGUGAAUACGUUCCCGGGUCUUGUACACACCGCCCGUCACACCAUGGGAGUGGGGGAUACCAGAAGUAGGUAGGGUAACCGCAAGGAGCCCGCUUACCACGGUAUGCUUCAUGAC
rnacentral:rRNA from 1 species